rnacentral:tRNA from 1 species
GCCUUCGCCUAAUGGUAGGGCACCGCACUUCGAAUGCGUCUGUCUUGGUUCGACUCCAAGUGGCA